GUUGCGAUAAGGCACGUGGGGUCGCUGUUCGGCUAAAGCUCCCAAAACAUCAGACAAAGCCGACAGACUGCGAUUUAUACAGGAGCUCUCCCAUAGAGCUGCACCACUCACACCUGACAUCCCUAAACAAGAGACUCACCCACGCACUCACUCCCGGCCAGGUCUACCAACUGGAGCUUGGUCUUGAGGGGAGUCUGCGUGAUGCUGGGCCGUGGAGAUGGGCACGGAGACUGACAAGGGGAGUGGCAGGGCGAGGAGGCGGGGCUUGAUGUAGAAGAGGAGGCGGCCCUGCGGCAGCGUGGGCUCCACCAUUCCUUCUGAGACAGCCUUCGGAUGUCCUGCCUUGCACUCUGUAGUCUGCGCGCUGCACAUAUGUCAGACAAAGUCCAGAAUAUAAGAAUUCAAUCGUUUUGGCCUUACACAAGUCUUAUGCUCCAUCUUCAUCUCUGGCCAGCAGAUCCAGAACCUCAUUAUUAUAAACCUCCAUCACAGACAUCUCCACUGUAUGAAUGUCUGAAGGCUUCUCGGAGAUCAGCCUGAAACAUCCACCAAUACAGACAGACAGUCUUCAGGCUGAAUAUGAAAUUCUGUGUGUGAUAUUGUUGUUAACUUUAGUUGAGAAGUGAUGUGAGUUUACUUGAAGAGUUCAUUGGCUGCUUUUGGAACGAUGCCCUGUUGAGAGUCCUUCACUGCUGCUGAGAGC